rnacentral:rRNA from 1 species
UACAGAGGUCUCGAGCGUUAGGCGGAAUCACUGGGCUUAAAGCGUGUGUAGGCGGAUCGUUAAGUACCUUGUGAAAUCCCACGGCUUAACCGUGGAACUGCUUGGUAUACUGGCGGUCUUGAGCCAGCUAGGGGCUACCGGGAACAAAUGGUGGAGCGGUGAAAUGCGUAGAUAUCAUUUGGAACGCCAAUGGUGAAAACAGGUAGCUGGGGCUGAGCUGACGCUGAGACACGAAAGCCAGGGGAGCGAACGGG